GUGGGGAUUUCGUCGCCGAUGAAUAGGAGUUUGAUGCCGAGUUCAUAUGGAGUUGGAGGAGGGGGGACUAAUGCUAUGAGCUUGAGUUCAUAUGGAGUUGGGGGAGGAGGGGUUAAUACUGUAAGCCCCAGUGUGAUUGGGGCUUAUCAGUCUCAAGUAGCAUUGCCAGGGUUAGGGGGUUAUCAGUCUCAGACGGCAUUGCAAGGAUUAGCAGGUUACCAGUCGCAAUCGACGAGUCCUGCGCUGAAGAACCAAUCGAGUCUAGGGACUUCUGGGUCUGGAUUGCCAUCUUUCCUUGGCCGCUAGGUAGAAAGUUCGAAGAACUGCAGGCUGUUCAUAAUUGUGCGCUUGUUUUCUCUCUCUACUGGUGCUAAAAAUGGCAACAUGGGUUAUCGGCAACACAUUUGUAGAGUUGUAAGGGACUUUUGUAGGUCUUUAUUAACUCGGGGUUCAUAAGUUUGUUAAUUUUAUUGCUGCAGCGGUAGUUUUUCUUGUAAUGAGAAUGUGACUAUAUUAGACCGCUGAUUCUGCUAAGCUACAGCUUUAUGUGCAGCCACUCUUUGGUUUUUGCUUAUUUGAUUUCUGUUAACCUAAGUUUUUUUUAUAUA